AUGCAGUCGAACGGUAGCACAGAGGAGCUUGCUCCCUUGGGUGACGAGUGGCGGACGGGUGAGUAAUGUCUGGGAAACUGCCCGAUGGAGGGGGAUAACUACUGGAAACGGUAGCUAAUACCGCAUAACGUCGCAAGACCAAAGAGGGGGACCUUCGGGCCUCUUGCCAUCGGAUGUGCCCAGAUGGGAUUAGCUAGUAGGUGGGGUAACGGCUCACCUAGGCGACGAUCCCUAGCUGGUCUGAGAGGAUGACCAGCCACACUGGAACUGAGACACGGUCCAGACUCCUACGGGAGGCAGCAGUGGGGAAUAUUGCACAAUGGGCGCAAGCCUGAUGCAGCCAUGCCGCGUGUAUGAAGAAGGCCUUCGGGUUGUAAAGUACUUUCAGCGAGGAGGAAGGUGUUGUGGUUACAAACCCGAAGCAAUUGACGUUACUCGCAGAAGAAGCACCGGCUAACUCCGUGCCA
rnacentral:rRNA from 1 species